ACUCCUACGGGAGGCAGCAGUGGGGAAUAUUGCACAAUGGGGAAACCCUGAUGCAGCCAUGCCGCGUGUGUGAAGAAGGCCUUCGGUUGUAAAGCACUUUCAGUAGGGAGGAAGGUAGUGUAGUUAACACCUGCAUUAUUUGACGUUACCUACAGAAGAAGCACCGGCUAACUCCGUGCCAGCAGCCGCGGUAAUACGGAGGGGUGCGAGCGUUAAUCGGAAUUACUGGGCGUAAAGCGCAUGCAGGCGGCCUGUUAAGUCAGAUGUGAAAGCCCGGGGGCUUAACCUCGGAAUUGCAUUUGAAACUGGCAGGCUAGAGUCUUGUAGAGGGGGUAGAAUUUCAGGUGUAGCGGUGAAAUGCGUAGAGAUCUGAAGGAAUACCAGUGGCGAAGGCGGCCCCCUGGACAAAGACUGACGCUCAGAUGCGAAA
rnacentral:rRNA from 1 species